CCGAGCCUUCCUCCUCUCUUCCCCGAUCUCCCCUCUCUGCCUUCUCUCUCUCUCGCGGGCGAAUUGGAGGCGACGGGAGCAGAGCUUCUCCUUUGGCGAUCAUCCUUGUUCGCCGGAGCUUGCUGGAGCACGGCGGAGCCUAGAUCUUCUUCGGCCGAGGGGUUCUGUCCGGUGAGUUAUGCGGCCGAGUGUCGACAGCGAGGCGGCUAGGGCACGACAGGUGCUCGAUCCGUGUCAUCUCUAGCCUAUCGACCCUUCGUUCUUCCUCCACGAGUUGUUCACAGAGUGUUCCGCGUCUCCCUUCUCGUUGGAUUUGGAUCGAGCGACGCCACCGAGGAGUGAUCUUAGAGGUUUCAACCUUCGACUCCGAUCAAUUGGGGUUGCACGGAGCUGUGUCUGGUGUUGUGCUUUGGUCCAGCGACUCAUCUGGUUGCUAGUGGAAAUGAUCUUGGCAAAGGAUCAACAGAAGGGGGGCUGUGAGGAAGAGGAGGUUGGAUUGAAGGGGGCAGCAUGUUUACUAGGGUUUCGGUCAGGAGUUUCCAGCAGCCUACAAUUCCAGCUCUUCAACUGUGGGUCAACAAAAUUUCAUCCGGUUUUAGGAUUUUGAUUCGAGGCAAGCAUCUCGACGUGGGGGCUAUAUUUGGCACGAUCUAUAUCUAAGG